rnacentral:rRNA from 1 species
UAGGGAAUUUUCCACAAUGGGCGAAAGCCUGAUGGAGCAACGCCGCGUGCAGGAUGAAUGCCUUCGGGUUGUAAACUGCUUUUAUAUGUGACGAUUAUGACGGUAGCAUAUGAAUAAGGAUCGGCUAACUCCGUGCCAGCAGCCGCGGUCAUACGGAGGAUCCAAGCGUUAUCCGGAAUUACUGGGCGUAAAGAGUUGCGUAGGUGGCAUAGUAAGUAGACAGUGAAAGCGUGUGGCUCAACCAUACACACAUUAUCUAAACUGCUAAGCUAGAGUAUGAGAGAGGUAGAUGGAAUUCCCUGUGUAGGAGUGAAAUCCGUAGAUAUAGGGAGGAACACCGAUGGCGUAGGCAGUCUACUGGCUCAUUACUGACACUCAGGCACGAAAGCGUGGGGAGCAAACGGGAUUAGAUACCCCCGUAGUCC